GGAGGGAGGGAGGAAGGAAGGGAGGAAAGAAGGAAGGAAGGGAGGAAAGAAGCCAGUAGCCUGGCCAGAAUUUUCUUUGCUGACAGCAUGCCUCUUAUUAGGUGGCCUCACAGGGAUAAUAUCCCUGUUACAGAGGCACAGAAUUCAAAUCCUGCACUCCUUGUAUAAGGCAUGGCUGCAUGAGCUAAAGAAAAUUACAUCUCCCAGAGCCUCAGUUUGCCUACUUGUCAAAUGGGGUGCGAUAACAUUUACUGCCAUGGCUGCUGGGAAAUUGAGUGAGGUGACGCGUGCAGACCAUAUGGUGGCAGUAGGUGCUCAACAGAUGAUGGUCCUCAGGAUUUAGCUGGUGCCCUUCACAUUCUUCACCCAGCCAAUGGUUGUUGAGUUCACUCAAAGCCAUCAGAGGUCCACAAUUGGUCUGACCUGGCCCUUCCUGCUGUGUCAGGGCACACAGAGAGCCCAUUGUCACUGUCACACCAAACUGUCCUUGUUACUUUGUCACAAUGUCCAUCGUUCCCUGGCUAGUGCUUGGGCAGAAAUGGUGGCUCUCUUACCAGCCCAGUGCCCCUGGCACUGACAUGGUAGCUGACAUUCCAUCCCCCAUGUCAUGUCCCCCCACCAGCUCAGUGGCACACCUCUCCCCAGUAGGGUUUCAAGGAAGAAUCCGGAAAGGCUCUUGUCUGAAACUCAGGAGAAAUUCUCUUGGCGCUGGAAAAGCCCAGUGCUGCUCAAAAUCAUGCACCUCUCCUUUCCUGGGGAAGAACACCCGCUUCUGCGGAAAGUCCUGGGGCCACAGGGUCCUCAAAGGACCGCUUCCUGCAAGAGCCUGGGCACAUCAAGGGCUAGUGCCUGUGCCACCUGGUUCUACCCCCCUGGCAGAAAGGCCCUGACCUCCCAUUUCUCUUCCCAGCGGCUGCGAUUUUCUCCACUCCACGUUUCUCUCCUUCCAGGAGCAGGAUUCUCCCUAACCUGCCUCCAGGCCCAGAUGGCAGUCAGGAAUCAGGCUUUAAGGAACGAUUAACACCCAGUGUGAUGAUUUCAGCUCCUGCUCCCAUGACCUCCACAUCCCCUAAACUGUAUGGCUGCAUGAUCUAAAGAAAAUCACUAAAUUUCCCAGAGCCUCAGUUUGCCUACCUGUUCAAUGGGAUGCAAUAACAUUUACUGCCCAUGGCUGUUGGGAAAAUUUAGUGAGGUGAUGCGUGUAGAGCACACGGUGGCAGUGGGGGUGGGUCUGUUUCUCCUUGUUCGCUGCUGCCCUGUGGGGAGAGCACCCCCUGCACUGAGGAACAGAGUGACCUCAGGGCCCGCAGGUCCUGGGCCUACCACCCCACCCUCUGGAAAUACAGGUGGGCAUGGGAACCACAGCAGAACAGCUGGUCAGUCAUUCGCUUUCCUCUUCAUUAACUUCACGCACAUGCAGGGUUCUCCCAAAGGCUGCCUUCUAUUGGUGAUGACUUCAGUGUGCUACAACCAGUGACACUGCACACUGUGAAGAGCACUUCUGGAUUGAUUCCUGAACUUGACCUCUAUUCGAGAAGUUUUACAACCAAAUCAUCUGGUGUAUUGCAGUCAUCUCAAUAACAGCAUCGGGUGAAAUCAGUAUCAUUUGGGGACUCACAGCGAAGUCUGGAGCACUGUUUCUCAAAGAGUGUUUCCCACAUCUCCGACGAGGUCCAGAGAGGCCUUACCGGGCUGUCUGGAGUUUUCUAGGAGAAUGUGUCUGUGUUUUCGUUUGGUGCUGGCCUAUGCUGGGCGUACAGUGACAGCCUAGGGGAUGUGGAGGUCAUGGGAGCAGGAUCUGAAAUCCUCACACUGGGUGUUAAUGGUUUCCUAAAGCCUGAUUCCUGACUGCCAUCUGGGCCUCGAGGCAGGACUGGGGAAGAUCCUGCUCCUGGAAAGAGGAAGAUGUGGAGUGGAGAAAAUCUCAGCCACCUGGGGGAAACAGGAGGUCAGAGCCUUCCCACUAGUGGUGCUGAGGAAGAGUGGGGCAGAGGCAGGUGGCACAGGCAGCAACCCUUAGUGUCCCCUCUUCCCCUGAGGCCACACUCUCCAAGCCAGGAGGGUCACAAAGCAGCAUGAGGAAGAGGUCAAAGCAGGGCCACGCCUCGACCUGAUUCCCAUGGGGACUCCAAGAACACCUGGCCUGCGGGCCCCACCCCCAUGGCUCUGGGACUCCCAACUUCCACCCAGGCCAGGGCAGCUGGGUAAAUACAGAGACUCAAAAAGAGCCCAAGGUGACACAGGGCCUGUGCAGCUCCAUGUGUUAUGGCAGGAACCCCUAGGUACCUAUUAGCUGAGGCAUGGGGACCUGUCAGAGAAAGUCAUUUUCAUGGGGGUAAAGUGACUCUGAAGCCAAGGGCGCAAUCAGUCAAUGGGGCUGUUUGAGCCAAGAAUCAAAUGGAAGUUCCAGCCAGACCUCAGGGCACCCCCAGAGCAGCCAGGACGUCAUCAGGCAGGGUGGACAGCUGAGCUCCCCAGACCACAGAUGACAGCAGCCACAGGCUUCUGCAACAGCCCACCAGGCUGCCCAGGGGCAGGACAAGACAGACCUACCACCUAAGCCUCCAGCAGCCAGGGCCCACCCAAGGGCAGAACAGCCACCCGCCUAGAGACCAGAGGCUCUCCUUCCCCCACCGCAUGCACCGCCCCCACUCAGAGAGGAUCAGGGGCUGAGGGGAAGAAGGGAGGUCUGCAGUGUGGACCAUGUGUCUGUGAAGAGAUUGUGGCAUCCACAAGAGACAAUGCCAGCCAGUAGAAACAAAGGGGCUGCAUUCUCUUUGCACCUUGGGUGCAGCGUGCUUACGUGGGGUUUAAGAAUUCAUGUAAUUAGCACCACAGGCUAAUGAUAACCGCUCCCUAGAUUACAAGACAGUCCCAUCAUCUCCAGCAUCUGGCCCCUUGGAGAAGAGUUUGCAGAAGGAAGAAAAGAAGACCAGAGAACAUUCUCUAUAAGGCCCUUUGCAGAGAAGAAAGCUCAGCUCCUGCCUUGGAAGCAAAGCUGUAGGAAAGCUCUUUCCCAUCUUGCAAGAUGGCAGGUGAAAAAGCUGAGAAGCCGGAUACUAAGAAGAAGAAACCCGAAGCAAAGAAGGCUGAUGCUGAUGACAAGGGGAAAAGGGAUCACCUCAAGACUGAACAACUCAAGAAGGGGAAGUCCCAUUGCAGCCUCAAUCCCAUCCUUGUCAGAGGAAUUGGCAGGUAUUCCCAAUCUGCCGUGUAUUCCAGAAAGGACACGUGGAAGAGGAAGUACUGAGCUGCUAAGUCCAAGGUUGAAAAGAAAAAGAAGGAGAAGCUUCUUGCAACUGUUACAAAACCAGUUGGUGGUGACAAGAAUGGUGGUACCUGGGUGAUUAACAAAAUGCCUAGAUAGUAUCCUACUGGAGAUGUGCCUCGAAAGCUGUUGAGCCACGGCCAAAAGCCCUUAAGUCAGCUUGUGAGAAAGCUGUGAGCCAGCAUUACCCCCAAAGCCAUUCUAAUCAUCUUCACUGGGUGCCACAGACGCAAGAGGGUGGUUUUCUUGGAGCAGCUGGCUAGUGGCUUGUUACUUAGGACUGGACCUCUGGUCCUCAAUCGAGUUCCUCUACGAAGAACGCACCAGACAUUUUUCAUUGCCACCUCAACUAAAAUUGACAUCAGCAAUGUAAAAAUCCCAAAACAUCUCACUGAUGCUUACUUCAAGAAGCAGCAGUUACAGAAGCCCAGACACCAGGAAGGUGAGAUCUUCGACACAGAAAAAGAGAGAUACGAGAUUACAGGGCAGCGCAAGAUUGAGCAGAGAGCUGUGGACUCACAGAUUUUACCAAAAAUCAAAGCUAUUCCUCAGCUCCAGGGCUACCUGCGAUCUGUGUUUGCUCUGAGGAAUGGAAUUUAUCCUCACAAAUUGGUGUUCUAAAUUUCUUAAGAAGAACCUAAUUAUAUAACUGAUAACAUUUAAAAAAUAGUAAACCUGUGGGGACAGAGGCCUGGCCAUGUCUGUGACCAGCAUGCUGGAGUGGACGUGGGCCAGAAGGAGGAGGCACAGUGAGCGGUGGGGACACCCCGUGUUGUUCACAGGGCCAGGCACCCAGAGCACGGAGCAGAGCAGCUUCCUUCUUCCCCAGGCUGCUGAGCCUGUGCUGAGCAUGUGUGGAGGGCGCAGUGGGCCGUUUGUUGGGGCUGGGAGCUAGCCCACUCUGCCGCCUCGGAGCAGAUACAGCCAUCAGUUACCCCAGCAUGUGCAAGAAGGACGCCACUGUCCAUAUGCUGGGGCCGGGUCUGGAGCGCACUCAGAGACGGAGAUCCGUGACUGUCCACACGCUGGGGCCGGGUUUGCAGCGCACUCAGAGACGGAGAUCCGUGACUGUCCACACGCUGGGGCCGCGUCUGGAGCGCACUCAGAGACGGAGAUCCGUGACUGUCCACACGCUGGGGCCGGGUUUGCAGCGCACUCAGAGACGGAGAUCCGUGACUGUCCACACGCUGGGGCCGGGUUUGCAGCGCACUCAGAGACGGAGAUCCGUGACUGUCCACACGCUGGGGCCGGGUUUGGAGCUCACUCAGAGACGAAGAUCCCUGACUAUCCACACGCUGGGGCCGGGUUUGGAGCGCACUCAGAGACGGAGAUCUGGGUGCAAGAGGGUUAUGGGGGUGUCCUGGAGACUAGCCCCCACUAGGGGAGAGGGCAGCGGGAAUGAGCAGCAAAGGCCUCAGCCAGGCUCACAGGCAGCUCUGAGGCUGGGUGGCUGCACAGCAGCCUGAAUCAGGCAGCUGACCCUGCCGUUACCUGGCAUAGCAAUCAGCCACUAAAGCAGGUGGCAUGGGAGGGGCAUGAGCUCACACCAGGCAGCCCCGUCCAGGUGAGUCCUGGGAGGCGAUGCCUGUGCCUCUGUCUUGGAGCGGGAGUUUGGGGCGCCCCCCACAGCAUUCACACUAGGCUGGGCUUCCCGGCCAGGCCCGAGGAGGAGAGCCUGACUGGGGUGGGGCCUUACACCUGGUGCCUGUAUCAGCCUCCCCUGGAUGGGAUUUGGAGUUUCAGUGGAUACCAACACCCAUGUAGGGCCCACGAUGACCUGCUUUCCAAUUAAGUGAACACCUCAAAGUCCCUUCCAGCGUAAACAAUCUCUGAUUGCUUGAUUUAAUCCUCCACAGUUAAAGGAACCUCUGCACUAAUGGGCUUGAGUGAAGUCUUUUUGCACAGUAAUACAUGGUCGUAUAACCCCCACAACAUGUCUCUAAACCCACGUGACAGUCACUUCUCUCGAUAGUGAUUACGCUUGUGCAGGGCUGAGAUCUGAAUGCUGGUUUCUACAGCGGAUUUGUCAUAUUCAGGUAACGGGUUUUGGGACUUGAAUGUAUCUUUUUGGAGGGACACAAUUCAACUCACAACACGCCCCCUCCUGGGCACCUGCACCCGGCGGUCCACACUCGGGAUAAAGGCCCGGCCCUGGGCUCCACUCAGGAUGACCCUGAAGGGCUGUGCCAGCUCCAGAGCUUCCCCGGGAACCAGCGGUUAGGGCAUCACUGCCGGACGACUCCCUCUACCCCGCUGGCCUUUCUUCUCUCCCUUCACAGACCUUAAACCCGAGAGCACUGCCCCGCACCAAAAAACACUCUUCUGUCUCUGAGUGAGCUUCCCCAGGGACCCAGCCUGCAUCAGGGACUCAGCUAGGUGGGGACACGGUCCCAUGCCGACGCGUGGCUGUGAAACUAACAAACACAACAUCCAAGGCCUCCAGGUGAGGGUCCCGACACAGCCACGUUGUGACAGGACAAGCUUGUUCCAGAACGUUUCAGAGGCUACCCCUGGGCAGCCACCUCCAGACUCCAUUGAUGAGCGGCCUUGGGAACCUCCCCCCGCCCCACUGUGCCCCACCGUGUCUGGUGAUCCUCCUGGCCUGUAAACCGUGGCCCGGCCGACUUUAAGCAAUUGUCAGUUAUGUACUCACUUCUGCCUCCAAGACAUCGGUCGGCCUCUACUGUACACGCCUCACACUGGGUGCCGAGGACAUGCAGCUCACGGUCAUGGCCCUGACUUCGAGUGACUCAAACUCGGUGGGAAGGAAGACAAAUGCACAGCUUUCCAUGACCCAGAGUGAUGGGUGUGGGAGAGGCAGCCGCCAGCUGCCGUGGGAACCCAGAGAAAUGAGACUUCAACCCAGACCCAGUCCACGUAGGUGCCUCAGAGACAGGGGGACAGUGGUCCUGGGAGGGGCACACUGUGGCUGCUCCUGCACAGCCAGGGAGCUACAGGGGUUUCCACAUGGCCAGGUGCAGCAGGGAGGCCCAAGGCAGGCAGGCACCUGAUUGUGAAGUGAACAACUAUUGAGUUCCAUAGGUUACUAAACUAGUUGGAGGUAGCUAUGCCCAAUCCUACUCCACGAUACAAUGCCUGAUACAUGUGGUGGCUGUGGAUUUGUGACUGUGUUUAGCACAUGGCCUGGGAGUUAAGACCCUCCCUCUCCCCUUUUGUGGUCUGGAGGGUUCACCUGAACCCUGUUCAUUCCACAUGGGGGGCCGAUUUUUUCAAUCAGAUCAGUCCUGGGUCUUCACCAGCUCAUCUGACUGGUCUGCCGAAGUUACUCCCGCUUUGAUUUAUGAAUUCCAUAACCAGAUUUGUCACAUCACAGGAUUUCCAAUCUUCAGAUAAGCGAGGGCGGGUAGAAACCUUUGGGUCACUGUAGUUAGUUUCACACUUUCAAAACUAGAAAAUUUCUAACCAGGGACAGUGAAAGAACGUGAGAGCCUCAGCACAGGUCAAACGCGAAAACACCUAAGAAAUCAAGAGAAUUAAAAAGAGAGGCCGGGCACGGUGGCUCACACCUGUAAUCCCAGCACUUUGGGAGGCCGAGGAGUGCAGAUCACUUGA